rnacentral:rRNA from 1 species
UACGUUCCCGGGCCUUCGUACACACCGCCCGUCAAGCCACUGGAAGCUGGGGGUGCCUGAAGUCGGUGACCGCAAGGAGCUGCCUAGGGUAAAACUGGUAACUAGGGCU